rnacentral:rRNA from 1 species
UACGUAGGGUGCAAGCGUUGUCCGGAAUUAUUGGGCGUAAAGGGCUCGUAGGCGGUUUGUCGCGUCGGCUGUGAAAACUCGGGGCUCAACCCCGAGCCUGCAGUCGAUACGGGCAGACUAGAGUGCGGUAGGGGAGACUGGAAUUCCUGGUGUAGCGGUGAAAUGCGCAGAUAUCAGGAGGAACACCUGCGGCGAAGGCGGGUUGCUGGGCUGAUACUGACGCUGAGGCGCGAAAGCUAGGGGAGCGAACGGG